AGUGAACGCUGGCGGCGUGCCUAAUACAUGCAAGUCGAACGAAGUGGCGCACGGGUGAGUAAUAUAUAGUUAAUCUGCCCUACACAGAGGAACAACAGUUGGAAACGACUGCUAAUACUUCAUAGUGUAGGCUGAGACUAUAUCGUAUCAGCUAGUUGGUAAGGUAAUGGCUUACCAAGGCGAUGACGCGUAACCGGUCUGAGAGGAUGAUCAGUAACAUUGGAACUGAGGCACGAGCCAGACACCUUCGGGAAGGAGCAGUAAGGAAAAUUGCGCAAUGGGGGAAACCGUGAAGCAGCAACGCCGCGUGGAGGAUGACACUUUUCGGAGCGUAAACUCCUUUUAACAGGAAAGCGGUACCUGAUGAAUAAGCACCGGCUAACUCCGUGCCAGCAGCCGCGGUAAUUC
rnacentral:rRNA from 1 species